AGACAUGAGGACACCAGCAGCGUCCUGAGAGACAGAGACACACUUCAUGGAAGGAACAAGAGGCCCUCUGAUCAGCAACACUUCCUUAAGAUGCACCUCCCCAGGAUCAUGAAGAGAACCCAGUCACCCCACAGAGAGACCGUUUCCCCUGUCCUCUCAUACUACUCAGAGCCAGCCUACCUGCAGCACCGUAAGGAUGUGACUAGAGAUCUGGCCUCGCUGCCUGGUGCAACGAGAAGAGGAGCCCUGGAUGAGGAAGACCAGGAAGAGACGCUGAG